rnacentral:lncRNA from 1 species
AAGAGGAUAUAUACUAUGUAUCGCCGCGUGGCAGAGGAGCAUUAAAAGAGAGUAGAGGAUGAUAAUUAAAUACCACUCAUGAAGCCGCUGCAUUCCAUUCCGUAGCCUGCACGUUGACCAAAGCUUAUUUUAUUUUAUUAUUUUGAAUGAAUCAACUAAAAUUUCUAAAACAGAUUAUUCGAUGAACAGGGAGAAAAAGAAGAAGAUGUUACCAUGGCAGAGGAAGAUGAGAGCUCUGGGAGAAGAAGAUGGAACCCAUCUGCAGGCAAACAACUCGACGCCUCUCGAGUUUCUUAUGUAUUCCUGUUUAGUAAAUAAAAACACGAAACUGUCAAAAAAGUAAAAAGUCGUUUGAUGUGUCCUGAAACAGAGAGACUGUGAGAGAGACCUCCUCGUAAUCAAACUUUAACUUCGUCAUGAUCCUUGUAUAUAUAUAUAUAUGCUUUGAAAUAUUCUUC